UUAAAAAAUUGCAUAGAACUGGGGACAGGACACACACCAGCAGGGCUGCAGUAAAACAGCCUCCCAGUCACAGGGCAGAGUUGCCACCCACAUUAUCACCAACCAUGGGAAGUUCAACAGGGGGAAGUGCUGGAUUCUGCCCUGGGAUGGGGCAACCCUGGAUGUUUGUACAGACUGGGAAUGAGAGGCUGGAAAGCAGAGCUGGGAAAGGGCCCUGGGGGUCCUGGUGGGUGCCAGUUGUCCCUGAGUCAGCAGUGCCCUGGCAGCCAGGAGGGACAACCCUGUCCUGGGGCAUCAGGGAGGGGAUUGUCCCGCUCUGCUCUGCCCUGGGGCGGCCUCACCUCAACAUUGGGGCAGUUUGGGGGGACAGAAUAGAAGGAAGAGAUUGAGCCAUUAGAGAGUGUCCAAAGGAGGGACAGGGAGAUGGGGAAGGGCCUUGAUUUGAAGGCGUGGGAGGACACUGAGGGCACUUGGUGUGUUCAGCUGGAGCAGAGGAGACUGAGGGGAGACCUCAGUGCAGUUCCAGCUGCCUGGGCAGGGGCAGAGGAGGGGCAGGGACUGAGCUCUGCUCUGGGGGGACCAGGGACAGCAGCCAGGGAAUGGCUGGAGCUGUGUCAGGGCAGGCUCAGGUUGGAUCUCAGCCAAAGGUUCUUCCCCCAGAGGCUGGUUGGGCACUGCCCAGGCUCCCCAGGGCAGUGGGCACAGCCCCAAGGCUGCCAGAGCUCCAGGAGGGUUUGGCUGAUCCUCUGGGGCACAGGGGGUGACUCUUGGGGAUGGGCCUGUGCAGGACUGAGUGUUGGACUGGAUGAUCCUUGUGGGUCCCUUCCAACCCAGCAUAUUCUGGGAUUCUGGUAAAAUCACACACCUUCUAAAUGAUGGAGUGCAAGCUCUGAGCUGCACAGGGCAAGCCUGGACAAGGAAUUUGGCUGUGGUUUCUCCCUCAUUCCUGGAUCCAGAGUCCAGCAGGGGGGCUGCUGCUGGACGGGCUAUUUUGAGCACAGUGCAGAUCACUGUUGCUGGGAGCUCACUCAGUGCCUCUGAUCAUGGCACUGUGAAUCUGCCCACACAACUGCAAUAAAUCUCCUUGCCCCAGGACACUCUGGCUUUUCUCUGCUUGCACAAUGCAACCAUCCAUUAGAGGAAGGGCUGCAACAGAUGGGCUCUCCCUUCUCCAGAAACAAGAUUGGAGAGAGAAGCUGCUGUUCCAGGGCAGGAAUUCCCACCAUCACCAGCCUUGGCAAGCUGCUUCCUUCCCUGCUUCUCAGUUAAUGAAAUCAGGUAAAUUAACAUUAGUGAAAUGUUAAUGGCUGAUAUUUGUAGGCUUCCCAGAGACUGGGCUGGGCCAAACCCCUUAAUCCUUUUAGCUGAUUCAUGACUGCAUCCUCUGAAAUGAAAAAUGUUGGCAAAUGCAGUGAUUGUGCUUGAUUCCAGAGAAAGGGAAUUUGAAAAUGAGGAAAUUUGUUAAAGAAAACGCUCAGAGUGGCAGCCAGAAAGGUAAAAUGUUUUCAGAUGGCAGGUAGACUAUUUUAGGAUUCUAUAUUGGAGGCUCAAAGCAAAUGCAUAUAACCUGUCAAAAAAAAAAGACUUGAGAGGAAAACAAAAAGCUGGCAUCAUAAAACAGCAGGAUCAGGGAGGCUCUUGGAAGUUAAAAGGUAUCCUGCAAAAAGCUGAAGUUGUGUCUGAAAAAGGAAAACUAAAAAGAACAUAAAUUCUGGCAGACUAAAUGUAAAAGCACAAUAACAUAGACUGAAGAAAGAGUUUAGAAGCAGUUUGCUAAAGAAAUAGAAAAGUAUGCUAUAAAUCCUUCCUGAACACAUCAAGAGCAAGAAGCCUUGGAAGAGUCAGUGUGAGGAAGAAGGCUCAGAAAAGAUGAUGCCAUCACAAAAAAAUCCCAAGCACUUUUUUUUUUUUUUUCCCAAAAUCUCUGUUCACCUGGAGAACCUUGAAAACUCUCCAACCAGCACCUUGUUUGUAAGGCCUUCAGAGAAGGCUUGUCUUAAUUUCAGGGUGUUAAGUGGAGAUUACAGACCAGAUAAAAUGAAUAACAACGUAUCACUGGGCAUGGAUGGAAUUCAAGCAAGGUUUUUAUUGAAUGUUAAAUAUGAAUCAUCUGACCUAACACCCUCAGUAUGUAUGUAACCUUUCGCUGAAAAUUGCUGUGAUUUUCAAAGGGCUGGAAGGUAACGAGUAAGAAAUCGGGUUUUUUAAAUAAAUCCAGUGGCAAUUCAAGAAACCACAGAUCACUAAGUUUAAUGUCCAUUUGGGUCAUAUUGGCUGAAGCUGUGGCAAAGAACAGAAUUAGCAAGCACAUGAAUAAAAGUAACAUGUUAGGGAAAAGUAAACAUGACUUUUGUAAAAGGAAUCUGAGCCUCCUAAAUCUGCUGGAAUUCUCUGAAGGACUCAAAAGCAUGUAAAUAGCAGAGCUCCAGCUGAGAAAUUUUCCCUGCAUUUCCAACUCACCCCAAGCUUCCAGAAACCUCAUGCAUAGAAGGUCCCAUCAAAGGCUCUUAAAUAAACUAAACAGCCAGGGAUUGCAGGUGAGGACCUCACAGAGUUAAAUAAGAAUUUAGUGCUGGAAAAAGAAGAUUAUACUAAAGGAUGAGUUUUCACAGUAGAAGACGAUCAUCAGGGGAGUCCCACAGAGAUUAUGGUCCAUGGUGCUCAAUGUGCUCAGGAAUGAUUUGGAAAGUUGGUGGAACAGGGAAGAUGAUUUCUGAUAAAAACUAAAUUAAUUAGGAUAAUAUUUACUACAAAAAACUUCAAGAUCUUACAACACUGAGCAAGCCUUGUGAUGAAGUGGAAGAUAAAUUUCAGCCCUGACAACCAUAAUCUGGCUAUCCACAAAAAGCAACACUAACUUUACACGGGGACUGAUGGGCCCUGAGCUAGUUUGCACAAUUUAGGAAAUACAUCUCAACAUUGUAACAGCUUGUUCUAUGAAUAUGUGACCCCACUGCUGAAUAGCAGGCAAAAAAAAAAUUCCAAAGUUCAGCACAGUUUGGAGAGAAAAGCACAACCUUGCUCCUGUACGAUUUAUGGUGUCUCUGCUUCUCCAAAACAAAGCACACUUCUGGUACCUUCACCUGAGACAAACUGUAACAGGCAAAAGAAAAGCUACGUGGCAGGAUGACAAACAUGGCAAGUACAAAACCUCUUUCAUGUGAAAAACAAAGUUAGCAGGAGAAGUUGAAUGGGAAGGGAUCACUUGGCGUUUGUCGUUCCCAGCCGUGCCGAGCAGGCCAGGUGCCAGGGAGGGGGACGGACACCGUACAAGAGCUCUGUCUCGUGCCUCUUUGUUCAGCUGCUGAAGCCUUCUAUGCUGUCAGACAACGAUUUCAAGGGCUGUGGGAGAGCUGUGACAGCUACACUUCAUACAUAAUCCCUGCAUGUUUUCAGGAAAAAGAAUAUAAAGGGGGAAAGGAGGAAUAAACAAUUGCUGUACUUGCAGUACUUUCUGUGCCCAUUAAUUCUAAUUCAUCAUUCACUAGAGGUCUCUACUUCUUUUCCCAUCUGCCCUCCUCCUACCACAUUUUCUGAACUAAAAUUUAAAAAAAUAAUAAUUAAAAAACCACAAUUAGGCAGCAUUUAUUAACAUCUGCCUGUAGUGACCCAGCUGUUGUUUGCCAGCCUCUACAGUGAUGUAUUUUAACAUCCUCCUCUCACCUCUCUACACUUCUUUCCCAGCUCCUUUGAGCAUGGGGGUUCAGGCUGUUAACUCAGCUCCUUCAGGGACAGCUCUACCUUUCAGUCACUUGUGCAGUGACUUGUACCAAUUGGUCCCAGCCCUGAUCACAGCCUUAAACUCCUGGCGAGCCAUUAAUAAUACACAGCAAUCAUUUUAAUUGCAACCGGGUGUCUGGAAUUUAGGAGCUGUGCACAGACUUCCUUCUAUCCACAAUAUUAUUGUCCCAUUGUGCAUUUUGGAGUUUAGCUCUCAUUAAAAGUAAUAGAGGGAAAUAGUCUGUAGCAAACUGAAUGUGUUUGUUUUCACAGUUCACCUCCUGCUCCUCUGCACUAAAACACUCUCGCUCAGUGACAAGACCACAGCUGUUGCCAUCGUUUCCUUACCUGCAGAGUGCAAUAUUUAGCUGGAGGGACACUGAAGUUUUCUGUUUGUUAGUUAUCAUGUCAACAACUCUCACCUUAUCACUUCAGUUUCCAUUCAGUUGAUAAAACCUGUCAGCCUUCCUUGAGUGGUUCCAGGCCCUCAGAAGAAAUCACAUUAAAUUGGCACAACCAAGUAAAUCUGGAAGGGAUGUGCUCCUGGCUUACCAAAGGAAAUGGGGGAGGGCUUGAAUUUCUCUCCCUCUUCCUCCCUGCACAGCUCCAAUGUCCGAGUGCUCGGAGCAGUGUUGAAAUCCUCCCUACGGACUCAGCAGUUCAAGUCAGAUCAGGUCUUUGAAUAUGGCCCAGAGGAGACGUCUGUGGAGCCGAAAUUGAUAUGUUUAAGUGCAAGAGACAAUAAUCAUUUCUUCAAGUAUAAGCUAAAAAUACCCGGAAAAAAAUGGAAUUCAUAAUGGAGAUUUUAAAGAUCUGUGACACACCAGAGCCUGCACAAGGGUUUUAAUGAGAGAGAAGCCAGUUUAAUUGGUCAGUGUGAGCAGAUGCUUUGCUGGGUGAGUGGGCUACGAGGUCUCACAGCCCUGGUUAACGCCAGGAGCAUCAGCCCUGUCCUCAACAUGGCUGUGACAAGCCCGUGUCACAGCAGCGCAGUGUCAGAGCCAGGGAACCUCGGUCAUCAACGUCUCCACGGUGUCAGAUCAGAGCCACGGGGAGAGAGCACUAAAAGGAGGAGGCAAAAGCCGACAAAGGAACGUUCCUGAAGAUAAUUGCAGGACUGACCAUCUCCUCUUGUCGCUUGCUUCAUUAUCACUCUGGGCAUGAAGCUGAACCAGCCUGUUAAGUUCUAACGCUGUGUUAACAGGGAGCUGCCGAGCACCAGGGCUCAGGUUCACAGGCCUCCCCUGUGAAAACUCUUCUGCAGUGUGUGUCACCGUCCUAGGAAAGCCAGGAAUAACUUCCGUGGCCCGUUCAAUUACAGACACUCCCGCCCAGCUCCCUCUCCUCGUGGCACAGCUCAUCAAUCAGGGCCUCUGUCACCGUGUCUCCUCUCAUCGCAGUCACCAGAAGGCUCUGAGCUCCCCCCCAGCCCGUGCGACAUUUACUGUCAGGGGCUGUCAACACCAAGAGAUUCUCCCAGGGCCUCCGAGUUCAUCACAAAGCAACAAGAUCUAUCCCCAAAAUGCGCUCCCAGUUCCAGCUCUGGAUUACAGUGACUGACUGAGGGGCUUUGCAGCACUCAGGGAAGAGUGAAACAGCAGCACGAGCUGCAGCUUAUGCCCAAAUACCUUUGUUUUCUUAUUCUCUUGUUAGAAAAAUACAACUGCUCUAAGAGAGGUUUCGGGCUAAUGAUUAAUUAAGCUUCCUCAACACCAUCCCUUAUAAACUUAUUAAGAGAAAGCUGAGAUUGUUUACUUGGAAAUUUAGUCUUCCCAUCUUUAGCAUUGAUCCUGCCUUCACUCUCUGUUUAACAACACAGUGACCUAGUGGAAAAAAUUUAUAAAACUUAAUAAAUUGCAGUAGGCAAUAUUGACAGAGUGUGUAUAUGCACAUUUGGGUUUGUAUGAACGUAUUAUAAGAAAUCUAAUAAAGUAAAACAAACACAUUUGCUUUGUUUGUAAGCUGUGAAACAAGAUCCCUGUAAUUACAAUGUUUGAAGCGUACUUGGUCAAAGGGCUAUGGUGAGAUUUUUGGCCAUAUAUUUCUGGUUUGAGAUUAAAGAACAACUAUUGUUUAUCAAGGGUUACAUGUUGCACAAAACUGCUUUGCUCAAGAUGCAGAAAAAUAAAAAUGUUGAUGAAAACCUAAGUUAGCAGAAGACCUCUAUGAGACCAGAGGAACCAGCACCCAGAGAAUAAAGUUCCAGUGGCAAAUGUGUCUCGAAAAAACAAUGAAGGAUUUGGAGAUAUGUUCAUUUUGUCUGACUUUUAAGGGGGAAUGGGCCUUGAUGAGUGUUUAAUCCAGUGACUGAAAGAGUGCUUUCAAUUGCAAGGUUUUUAAAAGACCAUAGAAUGUAUAUAACCUUCUAGAACUUUGAUGUCUAUUUUUAACUUGCUUUCUACAACAAGCCUGGUUUCCUCUUCCAACCAAAAUAAACAUAUUUCUUAAGGAGCACAGUA